AACGAACGCUGGUGGCAUGCUUAAUACAUGCAAGUCGAACGAGAAAGCUCUUCGGAGUGAGUACAGUGGCGCACGGGUGAGUAACGCGUAGAUAACGUACCAUGUAGUGGGGGACAACAUCGGGAAACCGGUGCUAAUACCGCAUAAGCUCGCAAGAGGAAAGGGGCCUUGGUCUCGCUACUUGAUCGGUCUGCGUAUCAUUAGCUUGUUGGUGGGGUAAUGGCCUACCAAGGCGACGAUGAUUAGCUGGUCUGAGAGGAUGAUCAGCCACACUGGAACUGAGACACGGUCCAGACUCCUACGGGAGGCAGCAGUAGGGAAUAUUGCGCAAUGGGGGAAACCCUGACGCAGCAAUGCCACGUGAGUGAGGAAGGCCUUCGGGUUGUAAAGCUCUGUCCUAUAGGAAGAACGGCCUUAGGUAACGCUAAGGUUUGACGGUACUAUAGAAGAAAGCACCGGCUAACUCCG
rnacentral:rRNA from 1 species